rnacentral:rRNA from 1 species
AGAAGUGAAAAAAUCGUAACAAGGUUUCCGUAAGCGAACCUGCGGAAGGAUCAUUAUCGAGUUUUGAACGGGUUGUAGCUGGCCUUUAACGAGGUAUGUGCACGCCUGGCUCAUCCACUCUCAACCUCUGUGCACUUUAUGUAAGAAACGGUGUAAGCCAGCUAUUUAAUAGUUGGUAAUAAGCCUUUCUUAUGUUUACUACAAACGCUUCAGUUAUAGAAUGUUUACUGUGUAUAACACAAUUAUAUACAACUUUCAGCAACGGAUCUCUUGGCUCUCGCAUCGAUGAAGAACGCAGCGAAAUGCGAUAAGUAAUGUGAAUUGCAGAAUUCAGUGAAUCAUCGAAUCUUUGAACGCACCUUGCACUCCUUGGUAUUCCGAGGAGUAUGCCUGUUUGAGUCUCAUGGAAUUCUCAACCCCUAAAUUUUGUAAUGAAGUUUAGUGGGCUUGGACUUGGAGGUUGUGUCGGCUUCUAGUCGACUCCUCUGAAAUGUAUUAGCGUGAAUCUUACGGAUCGCCUUCAGUGUGAUAAUUAUCUGCGCUGUGGUGUUGAAGUAUUUAUUAGUUCGAGGUGCUUAUAAUCGUCUCUUACCGAGACAAUUUAUGACAAUCUGAGCUCAAAUCAGGUAGGACUACCCGCUUGGAACUUAAGCAUAUCAAUAAGUGGAGGAAUUUG